GACGAACGCUGGCGGCGUGCUUAACACAUGCAAGUCGAACGGGCCCGCUCUCUUUUUUGUGGGUGGGUUGAGUGGCGAACGGGUGAGUAUCACGUGAGUAACCUGCCCCCUGCUCCUGGAUAACUGCUUGAAAGGGCGGCUAAUACGGGGUGUGCCGGCUGGUCCGCAUGGGCCUGGUCGGGAUAGUUUCAUCUUCGGGUGUUUCGGUGGGGGAUGGGCUCGCGGCCUAUCAGCUUGUUGGUGGGGUGAUGGCCCACCAAGGCGGUGACGGGUAGCCGGCCUGAGAGGGUGGGCGGCCACACUGGGACUGAGACACGGCCCAGACUCCUGCGGGAGGCAGCAGUGGGGGGUAUUGCACAAUGGGCGGAAGCCUGAUGCAGCGACGUCGCGUGAGGGAUGGAGGCCUUCGGGUUGUGAACCUCUUUCUCCGGUGGUGAAGGCCCUGUCCGUUGCGGCGGGGUUCACGGUAGCCGGGUAUGAAGCGCCGGCUAACUACGUGCCAGCAGCCGCGGUAAUACGUAGGGCGCGAGCGUUGUCCGGAAUUAUUGGGCGUGAAGGGCUUGUAGGCGGCCGGUCGCGUCCGCCGUGAAAUUCUCCGGCUCAACCGGGGGCUUGCGGUGGGUACGGGCCGGCUGGAGUGCGGUAGGGGAGGCUGGAACUCCUGGUGUAGCGGUGGAAUGCCCACAUAUCAGGAGGAACACCGGUGGCGAAGCGGGGUCUCUGGGCUGUUACUGACGCUGAGGAGCGACAAGCGUGGGGGAGCCAAAAGGAUUAAAUACCCUGCUAGCCAAGGGCGAAUUCGCUAUGGGAUAUUAAUGCUUAUCUAUACCGUCGACCCCGCGGUGGGGGUCGGGGCUCCCAUUUUGUGUUUCCAUUUAAAUUAAAAAAAAAUAACAUAACG
rnacentral:rRNA from 1 species